AUCAAUCUUCGGGGCAGGGUGAAAUUCCCUACCGGCGGUGAUGAGUUGUUUGCUCUAAGCCCGCGAGCCUUAUUGAGGCAGGAUUCGGUGAGAUUCCGAAGCCGACAGUAUAGUCUGGAUGGGAGAAGAUGGAG
rnacentral:ncRNA from 1 species